rnacentral:rRNA from 1 species
UGCAAGUCGAGGGGCAGCGGGAUUGAAGCUUGCUUCAAUUGCCGGCGACCGGCGCACGGGUGAGUAACGCGUAUCCAACCUUCCGCUUACUCGGGGAUAGCCUUUCGAAAGAAAGAUUAAUACCCGAUGGUAUCUUAAGCACGCAUGAGAUUAAGAUUAAAGAUUUAUCGGUAAGCGAUGGGGAUGCGUUCCAUUAGGCAGUUGGCGGGGUAACGGCCCACCAAACCUACGAUGGAUAGGGGUUCUGAGAGGAAGGUCCCCCACAUUGGAACUGAGACACGGUCCAAACUCCUACGGGAGGCAGCAGUGAGGAAUAUUGGUCAAUGGGCGAGAGCCUGAACCAGCCAAGUAGCGUGAAGGAUGACGGCCCUACGGGUUGUAAACUUCUUUUGUGCGGGAAUAAAGGAACCUACGUGUAGGUUUUUGCAUGUACCGUAACGAAUAAGCAUCGGCUAACUCCGUGCCAGCAGCCGCGGUAAUACGGAGGAUGCGAGCGUUAUCCGGAUUUAUUGGGUUUAAAGGGAGCGUAGACGGGUUUUUAAGUCAGCUGUGAAAGUUUGGGGCUCAACCUUAAAAUUGCAGUUGAAACUGGAGACCUUGAGUACGGUUGAGGCAGGCGGAAUUCGUGGUGUAGCGGUGAAAUGCUUAGAUAUCACGAAGAACCCCGAUUGCGAAGGCAGCCUGCUAAGCCGCCACUGACGUUGAGGCUCGAA